CUCUCUCGAUCCAUUCACACUCCACACAAGUUUAGCAGAGGCUUCUUCCUCUCUCCAUCCACGCUCUCUCCAUCGCUCCGUCCACGCUCUCCCCGUCACAGGAGCUUCUUUCACCGCCGCCGCUCUCCCCAUAUCUCCGUCCACGAAGAAGCUCCAUCGCUUACGAGCUCCAUUUUUCUGCUCUGUUUGAGCUGUGUUUCAGUCCCCUCCAUUUAGAUCUGCGCUUCUGAAUUUCAGAUCGCGUUCCGAUUCAAUUUGAGACAAUAAUCACUUCCGUCAUUUCAAAGAUCGAAUGCAGACAUGGUUGUACUUGCUGCAUCCAUUGUGGGCAAAUUUGGUAAAGUUCUGGUUUCUAGGCAGUUUGUUGAUAAUGUUGUGCAGAUAUGUGUACUAAAGUAGUUCUGUGAAGACAGCUUAUCUCUCCAAAUUUAUGUGAAGACAGAAAGUUAUGAGAAGACAGCUUACCUCUCCAAAUUUUCUGGAUAUGAAUUGUAGCAUUUCUCAAGGGGAAACAGUAACGAAUAUCCACCACUGGAAUGUUGGGCACACGAGUUUUCAAUACAAGACAUGGAGCAUUACCUUUCACUUCCUUUUUAUGAAACUCUCUCCAUCGAACCAAUUUCAACUAUUAAAGGUGAAAACUGAUGGAGCAAACUCUAAGGGAAAAAGAUGCAGCUAACUGAGUUUACAGGGGUGAAGGAGCUGUUAAUCUUGUUCUUGCUUACAAUGGAUCAAUUAAGUGUAUCGGAUAUGAUGACACCAAUUAAGUGUAUCAGCUACGUCUUGAAUUAAGUGUAUCGGAUAUGAUGAGACCAAUUAAGUGUUUCCAUAUAUUACGAAUGGUUACUUGAUUUCCUUAUCGGUGAUUCUAAUUGAGGUUGAUAAUCUACAAGAUAUCCUUGGCCCAUAUAUAUUCAGAUCAAAGGUGUUAAUAAAGAUGCAGUGGCAGUAGUGGGUUCAAUGCUUGAAUUGGAUGGCUCAUAUACAACUAAGAGUUAUCUUGAAAUAAUUUUAAACAGACUACCAACAAUAGAAAGAACUUCUACUGGGAUUAACUCUCAUCAAUCAGCAAGGCUGCUAGAGAUUAUUGAAUUUAUUCAAUCUUAGACAAAUGAGCUCUAUCAGCUGGCGUCUGUUGCCUUCUGCUUGCUUGUAGCCUGAUAAGGCCUUAGAGCUUGGAAUCAUAAACAGCCGCCAUGAAGCCUUCAUCACUUCCAAACUUUGGUGCAACAUUGAUCACCAUGACCUUGUCCUUCCAGCUCUCAAGACCACACUUAAGUGGAAAUGAGCUCAUCAUGGCAACAAGGGAAACUCAGAGAAUUUUGAAGCAGAAAGGAAUCCAUUUGGCUGCAUGGUCACCGUUUUCUAGUAAAGUCACAGAUAUUGGCAUCCAUUUUCUAAAAGGGCUACAAAAUCUUGCUCUGUUAAAUUUGGAAGGCUGCUUUGUAACAACUGCAUGCUUGGAUACUCUUGCAGAGCUUCCAGCCCUCUCGAACUUGAAUAUCAGUAGAUGCAAUUUUACUAACAAUGGAUGUGAAAUGUUUUCACCUUCCAUCAAUUGAAGUUGUUGCAAAUUCACCACCAACUGAACGUGAUCAUAGGCGGCCACCAAUUCAUGUGAUUGUCAUAUGUCCAACUCAAGAGCUUGCAAGUCAAGCGACUACAGAAGCUGCUGAAUUGCUUAAGUAUCAUCCUACCAUUGGUGUUCAGGUUGUAAUUGGAGGGACAAGACUUGCCUUAGAACAGAAACGUAUGCAAGCAAAUCCUUGCCAGUACAGAUCCUUGUUGCUACAUCUGGAAGGCUUAGAGAUCAUAUGGAGAAUACUACUGGCUUUGCAACUCGGCUGAUGGGUGUGAAAGUGUGGGUGCUCGAUGAAGCGGAUCAUUUACUGGACAUGGGAUUUCAGAAAGAUGUUUUGAAUACAGAGUUUAUAUUUUGAAUUAUAGUUCAUGUAUCAAUACACUUUGUUGAUAUAUGGUUAUUACUUAUUAUUAUAGUUGAUGUAUCAAUACACUUUGUUUAUGUUUUGAAUUAUAUUGACUUGUUUGUUUAUA